GUUUAAUGUUAAACACAAAGUUUGGGACCAAGUGUGUUUGUUGCAGGUACCCAGCUGUGUGCAUGCACGGGGACAAAUCCCAGCAAGAAAGAGAUUACGUUCUGAGAGAAUUCCGCAACGGAAAGUCGAAUAUCCUGGUUGCCACCGAUGUGGCCGCACGAGGUCUAGGUCAGUCCCAUUUCCCUACAUAACAUAUCUUGCCUUGUUUGAUGGGGCACGUGAGUACUUGGUAUUUUGCUUGGCGUAAAGUUGGUAAGGCAACAGGUAAAUGCAGUGCGAUAGUAGUCCAGACUGGUUGAUAACUUUCUUAGUAAGAGUGGAUCGUUUGAUGGAGGUCGUAAUUUCAGCUUCAGUUGCUUGUGUUCACACAACAGGUGUUCUUCGUCUCGUUAAAAGAAUUAAGAUGUAAGCAAAAUAACCUGUUCAGAGAUAGCGCAGUAGUUUGUCUCAGGAAGUUAUGUGGAGGGCAGUGAAAUACCAGUUUGUCGUCGUCAUUGAAUUCUUUGAGUUUGAAGAUUAUUGUUGGCUAUUCCUAAAUGUGAUGUGUUAUGAGGCCCAAUAUGAAAGAUCAUUAGGAAAGACAGUUUAAGUUCUCUUAUCGCUGAUGGAACAACAAAAAAUUGGUAAUAGAAGUAACAGGAACUAAGAGUGAUACUUAAAUAAAACACAUUUUUUUAUAUCAUUUCAUUUUGCAGUAACAAGAAGAGCA